rnacentral:lncRNA from 10 species
CAGAGAAGUAAGCCAGUACAGCCCAUCUGAAAAGGAGAACAGUCUGUGAUUGAGGAAUGACCAGAAUACUGGUGAAGAAUUCAGGUACUAGACAUCCUGGUAUAAUACACAGUGGAGAAAUAGCUGUUUAACACAUGACAUAAAGUGUGCAUUGAAAAACAGGGCUUUGGCGGAUGUGCAGAGAGCUCUCCUGGCCUCUCCAGACAUACUCUCCAUCUUUCCUCACACUGCUUUUUGCCUGAAAGGAUGAUCUCUAAGAACUAUGUCUACAGGUUCUCUCAAGCUUUUGGUUACGUUACACCCAAAGUAGGCACUGAUGGAAGACUGGACCACAGAAAAGUGAGGUGUGUUCCCUGGGUCCAUCCCUGCCAGGCUACAGAAUUGCAAUGAUGGUAUUUCCCUACCAAGGGCUGCAGUUUCUGUAAAGGGGGCCUCUUCUUCAUAGCCAGUUCCUUCCGUGGCCCUGUGGGUGAUGUCGUAGUUUCCUGUGGCUGCUGUAAUAAAGCCUGCAAACUGGGUGGCUUAAAUCAACAGAUAAUAUAAGGAACUUAAACAAUUCAUCAAGCAAAAAAGAAAUAACCCCAUUAAAAAGUGGGCAUAAGACAUGCACAAACACUUCUUGAAAGAAGACAUACAAGCAGCCAACAGACAUGAAAGUGCUCAACAUCACUAAUGAUCAGAGAAAUGUAAAUCAAAACUACAAGAAGAUACCAUCUCACACCUCAAUCAGAAUGGCUAUGAAUAAAAAGUCAGAUAACAACAGAUGUUGGCAUGGCUGUGCAGAAAACGGAAUACUUGUACACUAUUGGUGGGAAUGUAAAUUAGUUUAGCCUCUGUGGAAAGCAGUUUGGAGAUUUCUCAAAGAGCUUAAAACAGAGCUACUAGUUACCCCAGCAAUCCCAUUGCUGUGUAUAUGUUCAAAAGAAAAUAAGUUAUUCUACCAAAAAGACACAUGCACUUGGAUGUUCAUCACAGCAUUAUUCACAGUAGCGAAGACAUGGAAUCAACCUAGAUGUCCAUCAAAUAUGGAUUGGAUAAAGAAAAUUUGGUACAUAUACCCCAUGGAAUACUAUGAGUCCAUGAAAAAGAAUGAAAUCAUGUCCUUUGCAGCAACAUAGAUGCAUCUGGAGGCCAUUAUUCUAAGCAAUUAACCCAGGAACACAAAACCAAAUACUGCAUGUUCUCACUUAUAACUGGGCGCUAAACACUGGGUACUCAUGGACAUAAAGAUGUCAAAAAUAGACACUGAUAACUACUAGAGGGGAAGGGAGGGAGGGAGGGUAAAUGUUGAAAAACUAACUAUUGGAUACUGUAUGUCCAGUACAUGAGUGACAGGAUCAAUCAUCCCAAACCUCAGCAUCACAGGAUAUACUCAUGUAACGAACUUGAACGUGUAUCCCUGAUUCUAAAAUAAAAGUGGAAAUUAUUUUAAAAACAGGAUAUUUAUUCUCCCAGAGUUCUGUGGAAAUUAUGAAAAUCAGUUCACAGCAAAGUAUUCUCCUUCUGAAGAGCUGAGUCUUUUAUAUGUUUUUCUUUAACUUCUCCUGUUGCUGGGAAUCCUUGGUGUGCCUUGCCUUGUAGUCAUCACUCCAGUCUCUGCCUCUGUCAUCACAUGGUGUGAUGACUCUGUUCCUGUCUCUGUGACUCUUCUGCUCUUCACAUAAGGACACUAGUCACAUUGGAUUAAGGGCCUACCUACUCAGGGUAUGACCUCACGUUAACUAAUUUCUUGUGCAAUGUGUGGAAUUGCAAUGACCCUUAGGAAAUCUGAAAGCACCAAGUAAAAGCACAUUCUGAGAUUUUUUAAAGGACACUAAUUUGGUGAGGGGGUGGGGAGGUGCUAUCUAGCCCAGGACAGGUGGUAAUGGCUUCCCUGCUCUUGUUAGUCCCAACAUGGGAUGUUUAGUUAUCUCUUAUUGGUUUCACUUAAUCAUGCUCACAGCUUUAAAAAUAUUUCCUUAAUCAAAUUUUCUCAUUUUCCCUAUUUGAAUGUUCUGUUUCCUGGUGGGACCCUGACUGAUACAGAGGUCCAGUGAUAAGAGCUGAAAUAAUUCAGGACUUAGGGUGGGUAUUCUGUAUGUAAGAGUAUAGAUGUUAUAUUUAG